rnacentral:rRNA from 1 species
AACGCAGGCGGUUUGGUAAGUCAGAGGUGAAAGACCACAGCUUAACUGUGGCACUGCCUUUGAUACUGCCUUUCUUGAGUAGAGUAGGGGGAAGCGGAAUUCCGAGUGUAGAGGUGAAAUUCGUAGAUAUUCGGAGGAACACCGGUGGCGAAGGCGGCUUCCUGGACUCUAACUGACGCUCAUGUUCGAAAGCGUGGGUAGCAAACAGGAUUAGAUACCCUGGUAGUCCACGCCCUAAACGAUGGGCACUAGGUGUGGGAGGUAUCGACCCCUUCCGUGCCGCAGCUAACGCAUUAAGUGCCCCGCCUGGGGAGUACGGCCGCAAGGUUGAA